rnacentral:rRNA from 1 species
CCUACGGGAGGGCAGCAGUGGGGAAGUAUUGGACAAUGGGCGAAAGCCUGAUCCAGCAAUGCCGCGUGAGUGAUGAAGGCCUUAGGGUCGUAAAGCUCUUUUACCCGGGAUGAUAAUGACAGUACCGGGAGAAUAAGCCCCGGCUAACUCCGUGCCAGCAGCCGCGGUAAUACGGAGGGGGCUAGCGUUGUUCGGAAUUACUGGGCGUAAAGCGUGCGUAGGCGGUUAUUCAAGUCAGAGGUGAAAGCCCGGGGCUCAACCCCGGAACGGCCUUUGAAACUAGGUAGCUAGAAUCUUGGAGAGGUCAGUGGAAUUCCGAGUGUAGAGGUGAAAUUCGUAGAUAUUCGGAAGAACACCAGUGGCGAAGGCGACUGACUGGACAAGUAUUGACGCUGAGGCACGAAAGCGUGGGGAGCAAACAGGAUUAGAUACCCUGGUAGUCCACGCCGUAAACGAUGAUAACUAGCUGUUCGGGUACUUGGUAUCUGAGUGGCGCAGCUAACGCAUUAGUUAUCCGCCUGGGGNGUACGUCGCAGAUAACUACAANANAUAGACGCGNGAGAGCGCGACGACGACGACGAGGAG